AUUGAACGCUGGCGGCAUGCCUUACACAUGCAAGUCGAACGGCAGCACGGGAGCAAUCCUGGUGGCGAGUGGCGAACGGGUGAGUAAUAUAUCGGAACGUGCCCAGUCGUGGGGGAUAACGCAGCGAAAGCUGUGCUAAUACUGCAUACGAUCUAUGGAUGAAAGCGGGGGACUCGCAAGGGCCUCGCGCGAUUGGAGCGGCCGAUAUCAGAUUAGGUAGUUGGUGGGGUAAAGGCUCACCAAGCCGACGAUCUGUAGCUGGUCUGAGAGGACGACCAGCCACACUGGAACUGAGACACGGUCCAGACUCCUACGGGAGGCAGCAGUGGGGAAUUUUGGACAAUGGGCGCAAGCCCGAUCCAGCAAUGCCGCGUGCAGGAUGAAGGCCUUCGGGUUGUAAACUGCUUUUGUACGGAACGAAAAGGCUCUGGUUAAUACCUGGGGCUCAUGACGGUACCGUAAGAAUAAGCACCGGCUAACUACGUGCCAGCCGCCGCCGUAACAC
rnacentral:rRNA from 1 species